rnacentral:rRNA from 1 species
GACGAACGCUGGCGGCGUGCUUAACACAUGCAAGUCGAACGGAAAGGCCCUGCUUUUUUGGGGUGCUCGAGUGGCGAACGGGUGAGUAACACGUGAGUAACCUGCCCUUGACUUUGGGAUAACUUCAGGAAACUGGGGCUAAUACCGGAUAGGAGCUCCUGCUGCAUGGUGGGGGGUGGAAAGUUUCGGCGGUUGGGGAUGGACUCGCGGCUUAUGAGCUUGUUGGUGGGGUAGUGGCUUACCCAGGCUUUGACUGGUAGCCGGCCUGAGAGGGUGACCGGCGACCUUGGGCCUGAGAUACGGCCCAGACUCCUACGGGAGGCAGCAGUGGGGAAUAUUGCACAAUGGGCGGAAGCCUGAUGCAGCAACGCCGCGUGCGGGAUGACGGCCUUCGGGUUGUAAACCGCUUUCGCCUGUGACGAAGCGUGAGUGACGGUAAUGGGUAAAGAAGCACCGGCUAACUACGUG